UCCCUCUCGGCCGCAUCCCCUCUCUCUCUCCACGAUCUCUCUCUCUCUCAUCCUCCCAUGGACAACGCCGGAAAAACCCCCAUCUCUGGCCACCACCUCGCAAAACUGCCACCACCCAUCAAUGCUGCACCAAGAUGUGACCCAAACCCACGGAAAAUUGAAACCAUGCAUUGACCCCGACCUCUCUCUUCCGCUUUCCUUCUCUCUGCCACCACCGGAGACUCCAGCUCCGGCCACCAUCUCAUCACACCUCAUCCAGCCACUGCAUGCGACCACCUAGCCAAAAAGGCUACUUCCGAUCACUUUCUGCACUCCUCGCCAUCACCAAUCGAUCCAGACCAGGCCACUCACCCAAAGCCCGAAGCCUCGCAUCAUCUGACGCCAGAAGACCACCGAUGUCGGAGUACAGCCACUGCCUUUCCCAAAUCUCCAACCUCCAGUCCAAAUCAAGCCUCAACACCUCCAUAAACGAAGUCGGAGCUACACUCCCUUUUGAAACCUCAUAACCUCGAUCUCCGACUCCAACCAGAACGUGACGCACCGCCGCUGCCACCUUGUGCCACCGUGAGAGCCACCGGUUUGCUCCUUCAGUCCGGUAAGCUCGUUUACGUCGCCCUAUUCUUGGUUGAAGCCUCCAAUUCGAUUUAGAUUGAAAACCCUAAUUUGUGAUGUUGAUUUGGAUUGUGAGGGACUGGAAAUCUGUGUUCGGGAGAUUUUGGAGGAAAUGAGGUCUGUGAAGUUCAGGAAUUUGGAGUUUUGGAAGGGAGGAGUUGCUGGGUCAGUUAAGUUGAUAUCGAGGAAAGGGAUUCGUAUGGUUAAUGGUUGUGGAAUGCAGCUAGGACGGAAUUGGUUUCCGAGUUGGAGAAGAAGAGAUGGACUCGAGCGUGUGCACAUGGAAUUGGAUAAAGUAUUGAGAAAAAUCAGAAACGAAGCUAAGUUUGGGCGAGCACUCCAUAUCCAGUGUGCAGGUUUCGAGCAGGUGGUCGGGGAGCUUGCAGGGGAGGCACUUGGUCCGGCUUGACGUAUAGUCGAAACCGACUGCCUUGAGGCUACUUUGGACCUCAAAAAUCCCAAAUGGGAUCUAUUACUGUAUGCAGCAAUCAUAGCUGACAUUCGAGCUAUAUUACAGUCCAAACCAGAGCUACAGAUUUGUUUUGCUCCUAGGACCUGCAAUAGCACACAGGUUGGCUAGUCUUGCUUUUGAUGACAAUGAUAGUCAUGUUUGGAGGGAUCAUCCCCCUGAAUGUAUCCUAGAUGUACUAGCCUUGGACUGUAACUCGGGCUAAGUCCUUAUCAAUAAAGAUCAUUCUUCUACUCAAAAAAAAAAAAAAAAAAAAAAAAAAAAGAUCCAACUAGGCCCCGGGAAAGGAUAAUAAAGCAAAGCCAGAUUUGAGAUAAGAAGCAUGCAAUAUUAUGUAUUCAAAGGCGUGCACCAUGUUGUGAAAACACACAUGUAAAGCACCAAGUAAAAGCACUAAUAUAUUCAA